rnacentral:misc_RNA from 1 species
GAUGAAGAACGUAGCGAAAUGCGAUAAGUAAUGUGAAUUGCAGAAUUCAGUGAAUCAUCGAAUCUUUGAACGCAUCUUGCGCUCCUUGGUAUUCCUUGGAGCAUGCCUGUUUGAGUAUCAUGAGCAAAUCUCAAAGUCAAUUCCUUUUGUUGAUUCAAUUGGUUUUGCUUUGGACUUGGAGGCAUUGCAGAUUUCACAGUCUGCUCCUCUUAAAUGCAUUAGCUGGAUCUCAGUAAUUAUGCUUGGUUCCACUCGGCGUGAUAAGUAUCACUCGCUGAGGACACUGUUAAAAAGGUGGCCAGGAAAAUACUGAUUGAACCGCUUCUAACGGUCUAUUAAGUUAGACAAUUACCCUUAAGUUUGAUCUCAAAUCAGGUAGGACUACCCGCUGAACUUAAGCAUAUCAAUAAGCGGAGGA